CCAUUGCAUAAGCACAUCCGUGUGCGAAAGUCGUCUGCAAAUCCGGCAGCGACGCAAUGUCGGACGACAUCUUCUUCAUCUUUGCUGCCUCUAGCAGCUCCUUC
rnacentral:ncRNA from 1 species